CACAUGCAAGUCGAACGAACCUUCGGGUUAGUGGCGGACGGGUGAGUAACGCGUGGGAAUCUGCCCUCAGGAGGGGGAUAACGGUUGGAAACGACCGCUAAUACCCCAUAUGCCGAGAGGUGAAAUGAAUUUCGCCUGAGGAUGAGCCCGCGUCUGAUUAGCUUGUUGGUGAGGUAAUGGCUCACCAAGGCAUCGAUCAGUAGCUGGUCUGAGAGGAUGAUCAGCCACACUGGGACUGAGACACGGCCCAGACUCCUACGGGAGGCAGCAGUGGGGAAUUUUCCGCAAUGGGCGAAAGCCUGACGGAGCAACGCCGCGUGAGGGACGAAGGCCUCUGGGCUGUAAACCUCUUUUCUCAAGGAAGAAGAUAUGACGGUACUUGAGGAAUAAGCCACGGCUAAUUCCGUGCCAGCAGCCGCGGUAAUACGGGAGUGGCAAGCGUUAUCCGGAAUUAUUGGGCGUAAAGCGUCCGCAGGCGGCCUUUCAAGUCUGCUGUUAAAGCGUGGAGCUUAACUCCAUCAUGGCAGUGGAAACUGAUUGGCUUGAGUAUGGUAGGGGCAGAGGGAAUUCCCGGUGUAGCGGUGAAAUGCGUAGAUAUCGGGAAGAACACCAGUGGCGAAGGCGCUCUGCUGGGCCAUUACUGACGCUCAUGGACGAAAGCCAGGGGAGCGAAAGGGAUUAGAUACCCCUGUAGUCCUGGCCGUAAACGAUGAACACUAGGUGUCGGGGGAAUCGACCCCUUCGGUGUCGUAGCUAACGCGUUAAGUGUUCCGCCUGGGGAGUACGCAC
rnacentral:rRNA from 1 species